CCAGCUUCCCAUUCCCCUCGCAGAGCUACAAUUCCACAGAGUGGCUUAACAAUCAACCCCUCUUCACUGGAAACACUGGGAAUUGUAGCUUUGUGAGGGGAAUGGGAGUCUC